CCUACGGGGCGCAGCAGUGAGGAAUAUUGGUCAAUGGGCGGUAGCCUGAACCAGCCAAGUAGCGUGAAGGAUGAAGGUUCUAUGGAUUGUAAACUUCUUUUAUAAAGGAAUAAAGUGAGGCACGUGUGCCUUUUUGUAUGUACUUUAUGAAUAAGGAUCGGCUAACUCCGUGCCAGCAGCCGCGGUAAUACGUAGGAUCCGAGCGUUAUCCGGAUUUAUUGGGUUUAAAGGGAGCGUAGAUGGGUUGUUAAGUCAGUUGUGAAAGUUUGUGGCUCAACCAUAAAAUUGCCGUUGAAACUGGUUGC
rnacentral:rRNA from 1 species